UGAGGAUUCAGAAGAGCAGCAGGAACAGAGCCUGGUGUGAUCUGACUAUAGUAUGAGAUGCAGGUUCACAUGGCUGAAGAGACCUGGAGAGCACAGAUCCUCCAGUAAAGUGAUUCAGUUUGACUGAGAUUCAUUUUCCCCAUCAACAGAAUGGAAUCAAGAGUGGAUUCACAGGGUUUUAAUGAAGACUAAGCAGAAUAAAGCCUUCCGUGACUACAGAGACACCAUCAAGAAGAGUAAAUGACCCCUUUUGUAAUGGUCAUUCCUGGUUGUCAACUUGAUUAUAUCUGGAAUGAACUACAGUCCAGAAUCGGAGGGCUCACCUGCGAGAUCUCUGAGUCAACCUGGGACAAAGCAAGUCCCAGGUCAAGAUGUGGUGGUACACGUCUGGGCCACAUCUUCUGCUGGAGGCCUACAUAAGGACAUUGGAAGAAGGAAGACUCACUCUUAUUCACCUGCUUGCUCUUACUUGCCAGGACAUCUGUUGGAACCUACUUACUCAGGAUUCCAGCCUCUACAGAAGACCAGCUGAAACAACUAGCCUCGUGGGACUGAGCAACUACUAGAUUCUUGGACUUCCCGUCCACAGCUGCCCAUUGUUGGGGAGUUGUCCUGCAGCACAUCUGUUGGAACAUCUGUGGGAAAUGUUCGUGGGACAUUUACAUCUACAUGUAUACUCUUACACACGUGCACAAACGUGAACAUGUACACACACAUACAUAUCACACACAUGUGUGAAAAUGCUUAUGUACACAGGAAGAAAGAAAGUAACAAAGAAAGAAAGAAAAAGAAAAUGAGUUGGUAACUGGGGGACCCCAGGGUGAAUUUCCCACAAAAGGAGUCCAGCCUCCAGGUGAGAUACUGAGCAAAUGCUUGGACAACCCCACUGUGUAAACCACACAGCCAGCAGCCCCUCAUCUGUGGGGUACUUUUUGAGCCUAAAAUAAAAGAAAUAUCUAGAAUAGUCUCAAGGGUAAAGGGCUAUGGCUUAUGACUCCAGGUAACCUCAAGCAUGAUGCUGGACACCAUGCACCAAUUAACGAGCCCUGGUUGAUAGAUUUAUUAUGGGAAGACGAGUAAGACAAAGCAACGUUUGAGUGCUGCCAAGCCACACUUGGAUAGAGCCCACAAACAAUAAAAUUCUUCAUAACUUCUGGUUUAGUCCAUCUUCAUUGACGCAACACCCAAGGAAAAAACACUGAUUCCUUUCCAGUACCUUCAAUCCUGUAAUGAAAGGCAGUAAAAACCAGCUAGGAGCCUGAAGGAGAGGCUUGGACUAUUAAGCUUACAGGUUACCUUGACUUCUUGUAGGAAAGAAUACUGUUUUCUGUUUAAAAAGUCCUCUUGAAGUUGAAAUAGAAAUCUGUUUUGGCAGCAUUAAUCAACACCAGGGGGCAGGAGCGUAAGCAGAGUCAAUACAGCUUUUCUAGGACGGUGGUGGGGCUGGGAUGGGGAGGGGUGGGGGCAGCCUGAGAACAUUUAAAAAGCUUCCAACGUGGUUCUUGGCACCCAGCUAAGAGUCUCUCUGAAUUACUUGAAUCUGAAAGCUUGAAAACCUUUUCAAAUUUAUUUGUUAAUUACAGAAGCCUUCUGUGUUCAUUGUGUGUGUGUGUGUGUGUGUGGAACCCAAAAAACCAAACCAAAACGAACCAAAACAACAACAACAACAAUCUCCAAAAACCACGAAGAAGCAAAACAAAAACAUUUUACCACGAGUACUGUCACCAUCCCCUAGUAAGCACUAACAUUUUGGUGAAGAAUAUUCUAGAGCCUGUCCCUGCAUAUCUUUCCCUCCUAAGUAGAAUCAAACUGCAUUGUUCUUACAGUGUGCUGUUUCAUAGCUUUAGCUGGUAAUAGUCACCCUUUAUCUCAGCAUAUACGGUUUGCGUAGAGAAAAGGCCUAUCCAAGAUUCUAGUUUUGGCUCUGACCUAACCAGCCCUUGGCUACCAGCUCUGCUUCCUCCUCGGGGUUUAGAUUUAUCAACUGUGAAACACAAAGUGUUUGAAGCCAACAAUACACAAGGCGCCUCCUGUCUUUAUCCUUGUAACUGACCAUUAAUGAAAGGAAGCCAGAAUGGGGCAGACGGCAGUUAUCCUGCAUGCAGGUUCUGAUCCCAGAGAGCCACAACUCUACUUGGAAGGUCCCGGCCAGGUUUCUUGAUCUCCUAAUGGUUUUCCUUUAUCUAAGAUGGUAUUUAUGACAGGCAGUUCCAUGUAGGAUGCUGUAAGUAUUUAACAGAUGACAUGGUGCGCAUGCUUGGCCCAUGAUAAGACUCAAUGAGCCAUGCAUGGUGGUGACUGCUGCUUCUCUCAGGUACUAACUUUGCUGAGGUGAGAGUAGAAAUGAGCACAGGAGGAUCGAGUAUUGAACUGAGCUCUAACGUGGGAUGUUGCUGAUACACACAAGUUUAUUCCUCAAAGCAAAUUUACCAUCUCCAUAUUGCACAACAGGAAUCUGAGGCUAGAACUUGCCUGGGUUCAGGUGAGGAUUAAAACCCUAAACAUUGGCCUUUCACGUGGUCUUGGCCAUCUUGAGAGGGGCGUUAGUUCUGCUGUUGGUCAGGUGCUUUAUUCAGAAGUAAAGCCCAAGAGAGAGAGAGGGAGAGAGAGGGAUGGUCCAGCGGCUAAGAGCACUUGUUACCCUUGGUAGAGGACCAGGGUUUGGUUCCCAGCACCCACGUGGUGGCUUACAACCAAUGACAGGGUAUCCAGUGCCCACCUCUGACCUCUGAGGGCACUACAUGUAUGUGGUAUGCAUACAUACAGAGGGGUAAAAAACACUCAUAUGUCUAAUAUAAAAAUAAAUCUUUAAAAAGUCCAAUUAUCAAGUUUCUUCCUCUGUGAUGUUCAGUAGACGUUUCUUUAAAAAAAUAUUUAUUUUAGUUUUACUUUGUGUUGGUUAUGUGCACAUGUGUGCAGGUCCUGCAAAAGCCAGAGGAGGGCGGUAGAGCCCCUGAAGCUGGAGUUCCAGGCUGUGUAUGAGCGCCUGAGCUGGGUGGUACGACCUGCUCUCUGGUCUGUGGAAAGAAGAGCAAGGGACUCCUACCCUCUGAGCCGUUCUCCAGCCCCAUAGCAUGGUUCUUAUUCUUUACUCCAUUGUAACAAUUCUUGAGUCUGACAGUUACAUGACAGAGGAAUUUUUUGCACAUUCUAAUUGGCUUCUAGAUAGCCAAGCAGAGCUAGGUCAUGGACUUUGUAAAAAUAAUCAGUAUUCAUACGCAUAGAACAACAAGUAGGGGGAAAAAGGGCCAUGAAUUUGAAAGAGACCAAGGAACGUAGGAAUGUUCGGAGGGAGGAAAGGAAAGGGGGAAGAACAA
rnacentral:lncRNA from 1 species